rnacentral:snoRNA from 13 species
AUCAGUGAUGAGCAUAUCCCGAACCUGACUUCUUGAUGAAAACACUAUUAUACGGAUCUGGCAUCUGAGAA